rnacentral:rRNA from 1 species
AGAUCCCCCACAUGUGUACCUGAGACCACGGACAGACUCCUACGGAAGGCAGCAGUGAGGAAUAUUGGACCAUUGGCGCAAGCCUGAUCCAGCCAUGCGCGUGCAGGAUGACGGUCCUAUGGAUGUAAACUGCUUUAUACGAGAAGAAACACUGCUUCGUGAAGCAGCUUGACGGUAUCGUAAGAAUAAGGAUCGGCUAACUCCGUGCCAGCAGCCGCGGUAAUACGGAGGAUCCAAGCGUUAUCCGGAAUCAUUGGGUUUAAAGGGUCCGUAGGCGGUUUAAUAAGUCAGUGGUGAAAGCCCAUCGCUCAACGGUGGAACGGCCAUUGAUACUGUUAAACUUGAAUUAUUAGGAAGUAACUAGAAUAUGUAGUGUAGCGGUGAAAUGCUUAGAGAUUACAUGGAAUACCAAUUGCGAAGGCAGGUUACUACUAAUGGAUUGACGCUGAUGGACGAAAGCGUGGGUAGCGAACAGGAUUAGAUACCCUGGUAGUCCACGCCGUAAACGAUGGAUACUAGCUGUUGGAAGCGAUUUCAGUGGCUAAGCGAAAGUGAUAAGUAUCCCACCUGGGGAGUACGUUCGCAAGAAUGAAACUCAAAGGAAUUGACGGGGGCCCGCACAAGCGGUGGAGCAUGUGGUUUAAUUCGAUGAUACGCGAGGAACCUUACCAAGGCUUAAAUGUAGUUUGACCGAUUUGGAAACAGAUCUUUCGCAAGACAAAUUACAAGGUGCUGCAUGGUUGUCGUCAGCUCGUGCCGUGAGGUGUCAGGUUAAGUCCUAUAACGAGCGCAACCCCUGUUGUUAGUUGCCAGCGAGUCAUGUCGGGAACUCUAACAAGA